UGGAGUCCAGAUUGGUCGGAUGGA
rnacentral:piRNA from 1 species